UAAGGGGCAUGUUUUAGCGUCCAAAGACUACCAACAAUGUCCUGCCAGAUAUAGGCUUGUGAUGUGCAUGCAUGCAUGGCCCCCGUAAAUGAAGGAAAUCCUGGUGGAGCAUAGCUGAAGAGUGACCAAAACUGACCUAACUUGGUCCCAUAUGAACCAGGCCUGGGUUUGGAUGUUUCAGUCUAUGUUGGUUGGGUUCAACCGUUCAAGUUAAGAGCUUUUAGCGAAAU
rnacentral:lncRNA from 1 species